CUGCACAAAAAUUUCCACUGUUAAAAUAUUUUUUCAGAAACACUGUUCUGCUCCUCUUCUCUUCCUUCGUUCCUUCCAGAACCAUUCAGUCCUAAAGGCCUCAGGUGCAGCAGAGCAAGGGAGACCUCUGCGUGGAGGUGGAGGAACCACGGAGGGCCAGAGCGGGUGUCAGAGCAGGCCAAGACCUGGAGCGCCUUCCCAAGUCAACUGAAGUUACCGAAUAUGCACUGAGCACCAGUGAUAUACCAGGCAGCCUGGCUGGUGCUGGGGAGAGAGCAGGGAUGGAGCACACAGCCCAGCGGGGAGGAGGACGCGGAGCCCAGCACUGUAGACUGAGACUGAGGCCCUUCACCAACACCACUGAAACGCUGAUAAAAUCUGUCCCCGAGGAGGUGGAGGAAGAAGCCAUCCAGGUCGAACAAAAAGCUCCCUCCAAAUUCUCUUUGUGAAGUAGGUGCUCAUCCUUUGAAGGAACAACAUCUCUUGAUGCCAGGACAGCGGCGGCAAAGUGGAAUGUCACGGCCUGAUGGAUGCAAUAGAUUGAGUAUGGCUUCACUUAGAAGGGAAUGUUGGAUUUUUAAAGUAUGUUCUUUAUUUUGAUACAUUUCUUUUAAUUCAAGACAUUCAUUCCAAUGGGACAAGUGUAAGAUGAAAUACAGAUUGUCAAAAACCUC